rnacentral:lncRNA from 1 species
AGAAUUAUCUCAUAAAAUUUUAAAUAUUUUUUUACUUUUACCCUUUAAAAUAAUAAAAUUUUCAAUUUUAACCCCUUUAACUCUUGAAAUUCUUUUUAGACCCCUAACUUUAAUUCCUCGCUUUCUUCCUCAGUCACUGGUGGUCAGGUGGGUACUGAAACAAUUGAAAUGAUGGAUUAUGAAUACUAAAUCCUCCAUCUAUUGCUAGAUUAUGACCAUUAAUAUAUCUACCCUCAUCACUAGCUAGAUAAAGUGCAGCAUUAGCAACAUCUUCAGCCUUUAGUGUCACACCUUUUAAACUAGCAAGUGAAUCCAUCAAAUUCUCUAGUCCUUCAUCAUCAAGCCCUACAAAUUUCGUCGCUAAAGGCGUAGCAAGAGCAUAUGGCGACAAGCAAUUCACCCUAACACCAAAUUGGCCUAAUUCAAUUGCUGCAUUUCUCGUAAGUCCUAAAACAGCAUGUUUUGAGCAAGUGUAUGCAUGAGAGGCUGCAGCACCGACAAGUGAACUUAUACUAGCUGUACAAAUAAUGCUUCCUUUACGCGCGGGAAUCAUAACACGGGCAGCGUGUUUAAUCCCGAGGAAAACUCCGGUUACGUUAACGCUAAGAACGCGUUCAAAGUCUUCCUUUUCGUUGUCGAUUAUGCGGGGUUUAUUGGGAUCAACAAUUCCUGCAUUGUUGAACAUUAUGUCUAGCUUGCCAUAGGUAGCAACUGCUUUGUCAACUGCAUUUUUUAUGUGGGCCUCAUUUGUGACAUUGCAAUGGACAUAGGUAGAGUUUGAUGGGCCUAGGGCUUGACUAACUGCUUGGCCCAAUUCAUCUUGAACAUCAGCAAUCACUAUUUUGGCUCCAUGGUGAGCAAAGACUUUGGCGGUGCAUUCACCGAUGCCGCUAGCGCCGCCUGUGAUUAGGGCUACCUUUCCCUCUAACCUGCAUUUUUUUUUUUUUUACAAAAUAAGUGAAAUAUUACGUCAUUGCGUCAUUGAUGAUGUUAUACUGCAAUACCCAUUAAUUGAUUAUAUAUUUAUAUUAAUUCGGAAUAUGUUUAAGCAGAUUUUAGUGGUUUUUUGUUGCAUAUUUUAUUAUAAUGAAAUAAAUUAAUUUAGCUGAUAAAAAAAAUUUUAAGUGAUUUUUUUUCAUCUAAAUACUAUUUUUUAUAGUGUUUCUAUGAAUAUAGAGUAUAGACUAACCUUACAGCUUAAAAUAACAUUUUAUAAAAAGUUAACCACGUGACUGAAAAGCUAUUUAAAACCAUUACUAAUUUUUAAAUACUGUUAAAAUAAUUAACAACUAUCUAAACAAUUAAUCCCAUGUAACAAAUUCUUAGUAAAAAUAACAAUAAUGUCAUGAAAUUAAUUUCAAAAUAAAAAGGACACGAGGUUACGCGAAAAAAAUGUACAAAAUUAAAUUAAAAAAAUAAUAGAUCCCAUGACUCAAUCCAGGUGAAAGUAUAUGUUUCCUAUUUACUUUGUGUGACAAGGUUGUAAUCUGGACCAAAUUACCUAAAUUAUUUAUCAAGUUAAUAAAAUUAUUGUUCAAAAAAAAAGUUUAAUAAAAUUAUCUUUUAGUCUCUCAAAUUUCAGUAAAUUAUAUUUUAACUCUUAAGUUUUAAUUUCAAGGUCUGCCCUCAUAUCACAUGAGUUCCAACAAACAGAGAAAGUCUUUUGUUUUAAAAGCUCAUUAUGAUCAUCAACAAGAAAAGAAAUACAAAAGCUUAUAGAAAUGGAAAUAAACAGAUGGAAAGAAAAUUGUAAGAUCGUGACUUACCUUCUUGCAACAGCUGAGAUAAAUGAAGCUGCCAUUUUUCCUCACAACCAAGUCCAGAGAGAAGCCUGUGAAAAUAUAGUAUAAGAAAUGCAAACUAAAGAACAGCUAAGAUAGAAGACAAAAGUUGCGGGAGAAGGAAUCUUAUAAUGGUGAUGCUUUGCUUUGUAAUAUAUAUAUAUAUAUAUAUAUAUAAGAAAUCGUUAUUUCUUUUCUUUUAUUACAUCGUUAUUUUUAUAAUCAUUAAGUAUUUUUGUAAUUUAAUUUUAUUCUCUCCCCCUAUGACUAUUUUUUAUGUGUUUGACCGAUACGAUAGGUAUCCAUUUUGAAGUUAAUUUUUCGUGGAUAAUUCAAUUAGAUAAAAUGAUAGCCACCUUAUUGUGAGCCGCCUUUGUUGAAAAAAAAUAUAUAUAUAUAUAGUUUAGCUCAAUUUCACGUGGGGAGAUGAGCUUUUGAAGGUGUUUGAAUUGGCUAUAAAAGGAAGUAUAUUUAGAUUUUUAAACACAUUAAAAAUACUUGAAUGAGUUUUAUAUUAGGGAUUUAAAGCAAGUCUUUUGAUAUUCCUUAGAGUAUAAAAUAUUUGGAGUGUUUUGAGGGUAUCGAGUAGAAAAAUAUUUUAUAAUUGUAGUCGUAACAAUUUGCCGCAUAGUAAAUAUUUUUCUUGAUUGUCGUUUGGCAACGACAGUGGUUUUUCUUCACUUGGAGAGUUUUCCACGUUAAACUAUUGUGUUAUUUAUUCUCUUUAAUUUCUCAGUCAUCAUUUUAUUUUUCUCAUUUAUUCCUGUUUGAAGUCGGUCCGAAAGAUGGAAAAAUAGCGAGUUUUCCAACACUUAUCAAUAUUGUACUUCUUGUAUAUUAAUAAUAGAGUAAUGUACACAUAUUAUCGAUAAAAAAAAAAAGUUUAGCUGACGAUUUACUAUCAAAAUAGAAUUAGACUUAUCUAGAGUGCGCAGUUUUUAUGUGCUUGAUUGGAUUACUCUGAUUUUUCUUGAUUGGGAUUUGAACCAUUGUUCAUUAUCAUCAUCCUCUAGACCUUCAUAGUCCUUUCCUACUACUACUUGUUAAUUUAUGUUACCAUAAUUAUCAUGUCCCCCUUUCUUCCUCUUUCUCAUCAUCCACAUCACUGGCAGGCAAGUGGAUUCAUAUCCACAUCACUGGAAGGCAAGUGGAUUCUCACAUGCAAAAGAAGAUGCCAAAAGAGUUUUGUCCAAUCACUCUCGCGUCUUUAAGACGCUCCGCACCCUCUAUCAUCUCCUUUUUUGUUUUCGUUUUCUUCUCUCUCUUUAGAUCUGACAAAUAAACUGAAAAAAAAUAUAUAUUAAAAAUGAAGUGGUAAUAAAAAUUACAAUAUAGCAAUUGAGUGAAGUACCAUAUGAACUUUGUAGAAAAACUUAAAGACUUACAGAAAUUGAUUGUAGAAUAUGGGAAAGACAUAUCUAGGUGUAAGUACACUAUCACCAAAUCGUCAGUAUUCUCUUCAAUUAAAUAAAAGCAAAAAAAAAAAAAAAAGAAAUUUAACUAAUUUUGUAAAAUGCUCAAUGUUAAAGCAUUUCAUGUUUCAUAUAAAAAUCUCCUCCAAUCUCUAAACGCUAUCGUAAAAACUAUGUUACGGAAGAUAUAAUUAAUAGAGAAAGAGUCUUCUCUCGGUCAAAAUGCUAAAACCUAAUAGCUCAAAAAGUGUUGUCGUAGUAAGGAAAAAAAAAAAAUGACGGGGCAAAAAUUGGUUAAUUAAAAAUUUUGAAGUUAAUUUUUGAAUUUUAGGAUAGGUUUGGUGUUAAGCUACUACUGUUUAAACGAAAUUAUGAACUUUCUUUAGCUUUCUGAUCUUGUCCUCGUGUAAGGUUUGUGAACAAGCCUCUUGAAGCUUGCGUGUAAGGUUUUUAUUAUAUAAUUCAUUUGACUGUUUGAUGUAGAUGGCUACGACUCGUGAUAAACUGAUAAUUUUAUUGAGGUUGAUGGAGACUAUUAAUUUGGAAUAUGAAGAUUGUGGUUGCAAAUUUAGGAGAUAUUUCUGCUGUAACGGCGAUAAAACAAAGAGAGCAAUCAAGUUUACUUUAAUCGCGUGAAGUGUAUUUUUUAUGUGCUUUGUGUUUAGUUAAAAAAUUUAUUGUAAUAUUAAUUUUUCUAUGAUUUUUAUUUUGAUUUUGAAGAACAAAUUCAUUUUGUUCAUAAUAAUGUAUUUCUACGCUUGAUUUGAGUUAAGUGAGUCAUGUUUUUUUUUUUUUUUUUUUUAACCACAUGACCUAUUUAAUUAGAUAGAUUACAUAUUUAGUAUUCCUGUCAACUGUUUAAUUUUCAUGUCGUACCAGCAUUCAAAAAUUUGACAAAAUUAUCAAACUGGUUGGUUUGACUAUAAUCAUAUCGCAUAUUAAGUGAAUCUAUGUCAAACCCGACAUGCCAACCCAUGACACCUCUAUUAAUUCUCUUGUUCUUUCAUCCAAAAUUUUCAACUUAUUGUAUAUAUCAAAGAUUUUUAUUUUUAUUUCUAUUUUGGUUAUGCAAUUGCGUUUGGUUGGGGGGUAAGUAGACUAGGAAAGUGCAACUUUUAGGAAGUGCAUCUUUUCGGAAAGUGCAUAAAAUAUUUGUGUUUAGUUUGCAUUAUCAUUUAUACUUUCUGGAAGUAGAUCAUCCAAUUUUCCUUACACAAGAGAAGUAAGGUAAGUAAGUUCCUUAGAUAUGGGUAGGAAAGUUGCACUUCCUUAGCUAAGUGCAAUUAAUUUACUAAUUUAUCCUAUUAUCUAGAUAUUAUUGUAAUUUGUAGUUUAAGAUCAAUUCACUUGAUUUGCAUACCAAACACAUAAAAAUUAUACUUCCGAAGUAGGAAUUAUACUUCUCAAUAAUUGAAUUUCUAAUUGAUUUCCGAUUAUUGGUCAAAUUUACUCCUUUUCUGUAAUUAUACCUUGUAUUUUUGCGUUAAUUGUUCAAAAUUUUAACAUGAAGUUGCUCAAAGAUCACACUUGGAAAAAAAAAAACUAUAUUUUCAUUUCAAUUAUAAGGGAAAAGCUAAAAUUGAAAUUUGAAGUUAUUACAAAUAUAUUUUUAAUCUAAUCUAUGAGUUUGGAUUGAAAUUAAUUAGGUUCAAAGAAAUUUUUUUUUUUUCUUCAAGAAUAUAUUUUUAGUAAGAGUUGAAAACCACAAAUUACAAAUACAUCAAACUCACCAUAAAAGAGUUCUAUUAAUAUCUUAUUAGUAUUUUCAACAUAUUAUUUAAAAAGAAAACAGAGAAAUAGAACAGUUCAAACAGUCAUGUCAUACAAAUACUAUUAAUUAAGCACAUGGUGCACUGAAGAAGCUAGGGGGCUGGCCCCGCCACCCGCCCCCUCCUAAUUAAAAUUUUUUUUAAGAAUUAUCUCAUAAAAUUUUAAAUAUAUUUUUUUAUUUUUACCCUUUAAAAUAAUAAACUUUUCAAUUUUACCCCCCUUUAACUCUUGAAAUUCUUUUUAGACCCCUAACUUUAAUUCCUCGCUUUCCUCCUCAGUCACUGGUGGUCAUCAGGUGGGUACUGAAACAUUUGAAAUGAUGGAUUAUGAAUACUAAUUCCUCCAUCUAUUGCUAGAUUAUGACCAUUAAUAUAUCUACCCUCAUCACUAGCUAGAUAAAGUGCAGCAUUA